rnacentral:rRNA from 1 species
CCUACGGGAGGCAGCAGUAGGGAAUAUUGCACAAUGGGGGAAACCCUGAAGCAGCAACGCCGCGUGGAGGAUGAAGGUUUUCGGAUUGUAAACUCCUAUUGUCAGAGAAGAAAAUGACGGUAUCUAACGAAUAAGCACCGGCUAACUCCGUGCCAGCAGCCGCGGUAAUACGGAGGGGGCAAGCGUUAUUCGGAAUCACUGGGCGGAAAGAGCGCGUAGGCGGGAUAGCAAGUCAGAUGUGAAAUCCUAUGGCUUAACCAUAGAACUGCAUUUGAAACUGUUAUUCUAGAGUAUGGGAGAGGUAGGUGGAAUUCUUGGUGUAGAGGUGAAAUCCGUAGAGAUCAAGAGGAAUACUCGUGGCGAAGGCGACCUGCUAGAACAUAACUGACGCUGAGGCGCGAAAGCGUGGGGAGCAAACAGGAUUAGAUACCCCUGUAGUC